rnacentral:rRNA from 1 species
AACGAACGCUGGCGGCAUGCCUAACACAUGCAAGUCGAACGAGACCUUCGGGUCUAGUGGCGCACGGGUGCGUAACGCGUGGGAACCUGCCCUUAGGUUCGGAAUAACUCCCCGAAAGGGGUGCUAAUACCGGAUAAUGUCUUCGGACCAAAGAUUUAUCGACUUUGUAUGGGCCCGCGUUGUAUUAGCUAGUUGGUAGGGUAAAAGCCUACCAAGGCGACGAUCCAUAGCUGGUCUGAGAGGAUGAUCAGCCACACUGGGACUGAGACACGGCCCAGACUCCUACAGGAGGCAGCAGUGGGGAAUAUUGGAAAAUGGGCGAAAGCAUGAUCCAGCAAUGCCGCGUGAGUGAUGAAGGCCUUAGGGUUGUAAAGCUCUUUUACCCGGGAUGAUAAUGACAGUACCGGGAGAAUAAGCUCCGGCUAACUCCGUG